CCGCCUCGCUCCAACUCCUUUCUUCCCUCUCCUUGGCACAAAACUUUUCGGGUUUUCAGCCUAGGGGUGGAGAUUUUUGGAAAAUUUCUGUCCAACGGGCGAAGCUGCGGGGGGGCGGGGGCGCUGCCGGGAGAUGGGAUCCGCCGGCUCCGCCUUGGACGCGAGAGGGAAAAAAAAAGAAAAAAAAAAAAAGCAAUGAGGACUCACGCUGGAAGGCAGGGCUCCGAUUUUAGCAAGAGCCUUGGCCCCUUCUCAGCGUAAGCUUUGUGCUCUUUGGAGAGUUAAGGUGUGUUUUGUGUUCUUUGCUUUUCACGUGUCAGAGUUGGAAGUUCAUCUAACGGUGUGAAAUAUUUAUUAUGUUUCUUUUCUUUCCAGUUACAUAACUGCUGCCUGUGGAGUUUUCCACAUGUUAAAACUCUACAGCUGCCCUUUGUCAGGUUUAUUUUUGGUCUACUGUGCUUUUAAAAGGGAAACCCAUUAUGAAUGCUCUGUUGCCUGCUUUAAAAUUGACCUGCACUUAUACUGCACACACUCCAAGGGCUAAACAGACAAUUUUUCUAUUUGCUCCCAGGGACCAAAAAUGUCUGGUGCAUUCAAGAAUAGUGACAGGUCUGGAAAAAGGCCAUUCCCAAGAGAAGAAAUUGUGAUACAUCAGUUUUUCAAAGGGAACUCUGCCAUCUCACUCAACAUCUUGGAUCUGGGGCAGUACAGCCCAGAAGAGAGGAUACUGAAAGAAUUUGGGCAAGAUUCAAUGAUUCCUCCAUUUGGUCACUGCUCUCCAGAACACUCCUAAUGAUAAUGAUACUGUAUUAAUUGUUCACAUUUAUUAAGCACUACUUAUGCCUGGCACUGUGCAAAGCCCUUCAUAGGUGUCACCUAAUAAACAACUUUGGGAAGAGGG